rnacentral:rRNA from 1 species
GGAGCCAUCCUUGGGAUACCACCCUUGUAGUACUGGGACUCUAACCAUAGGCCAUGAAUCUGGUCUUGGGACACUGUCAGGUGGGCAGUUUGACUGGGGCGGUCGCCUCCCAAAAGGUAACGGAGGCGCUCAAAGGUUCUCUCAGUACGGUCGGAAAUCGUACGUAGAGCGUAAAGGCAAAAGAGAGCUUGAUUGCAAGACAUACAGGUCGAGCAAGGAUGAAAAUCGGACUUAGUGAUCCGGUGGUUCUGCGUGGAAGGGCCAUCGCUCAACGGAUAAAAGCUACCCUGGGGAUAACAGGCUUAUCUCCCCCAAGAGUCCACAUCGACGGGGAGGUUUGGCACCUCGAUGUCGGCUCAUCACAUCCUGGGGCUGUAGUAGGUCCCAAGGGUUGGGCUGUUCGCCCAUUAAAGUGGUACGCGAGCUGGGUUCAGAACGUCGUGAGACAGUUCGGUCCCUAUCCGUCGCAGGCGUAGGAAAUUUGAGAAGACCUGUCCUUAGUACGAGAGGACCGGGAUGGACGUACCUCUGGUGUACCAGUUGUUCUGCCAAGGGCAUGGCUGGGUAGCUAUGUACGGAAUGGAUAAGCGCUGAAAGCAUCUAAGCGCGAAGCCAACUUCAAGAUAAGAUUUCCCACCG